rnacentral:rRNA from 1 species
AACGCUGGCGGCGUGCUUAACACAUGCAAGUCGAACGGAAAGGCCCUGCUUUUGUGGGGUGCUCGAGUGGCGAACGGGUGAGUAACACGUGAGUAACCUGCCCUUGACUUUGGGAUAACUUCAGGAAACUGGGGCUAAUACCGGAUAGGAGCUCCUGCUGCAUGGUGGGGGUUGGAAAGUUUCGGCGGUUGGGGAUGGACUCGCGGCUUAUCAGCUUGUUGGUGGGGUAGUGGCUUACCAAGGCUUUGACGGGUAGCCGGCCUGAGAGGGUGACCGGCCACAUUGGGACUGAGAUACGGCCCAGAAUCCUACGGGAGGCAGCAGUGGGGAAUAUUGCACAAUGGGCGGAAGCCUGAUGCAGAAACGCCGCGUGCGGGAUGACGGCCUUCGGGUUGUAAACCGAUUUCGAAUGUGACGAAGCGUGAGUGACGGUAAUGGGUAAAGAAGCACCGGCUAACUACGUG